UGUAUAAUGGGUCAGCGACUUAUAUUCUGUAGCAAGGUUAACCGAAUAGGGGAGCCGAAGGGAAACCGAGUCUUAACUGGGCGUUAAGUUGCAGGGUAUAGACCCGAAACCCGGUGAUCUAGCCAUGGGCAGGUUGAAGGUUGGGUAACACUAACUGGAGGACCGAACCGACUAAUGUUGAAAAAUUAGCGGAUGACUUGUGGCUGGGGGUGAAAGGCCAAUCAAACCGGGAGAUAGCUGGUUCUCCCCGAAAGCUAUUUAGGUAGCGCCUCGUGAAUUCAUCUCCGGGGGUAGAGCACUGUUUCGGCAAGGGGGUCAUCCCGACUUACCAACCCGAUGCAAACUGCGAAUACCGGAGAAUGUUAUCACGGGAGACACACGGCGGGUGCUAACGUCCGUCGUGAAGAGGGAAACAACCCAGACCGCCAGCUAAGGUCCCAAAGUCAUGGUUAAGUGGGAAACGAUGUGGGAAGGCCCAGACAGCCAGGAUGUUGGCUUAGAAGCAGCCAUCAUUUAAAGAAAGCGUAAUAGCUCACUGGUCGAGUCGGCCUGCGCGGAAGAUGUAACGGGGCUAAACCAUGCACCGAAGCUGCGGCAGCGACGCUUAUGCGUUGUUGGGUAGGGGAGCGUUCUGUAAGCCUGCGAAGGUGUGCUGUGAGGCAUGCUGGAGGUAUCAGAAGUGCGAAUGCUGACAUAAGUAACGAUAAAGCGGGUGAAAAGCCCGCUCGCCGGAAGACCAAGGGUUCCUGUCCAACGUUAAUCGGGGCAGGGUGAGUCGACCCCUAAGGCGAGGCCGAAAGGCGUAGUCGAUGGGAAACAGGUUAAUAUUCCUGUACUUGGUGUUACUGCGAAGGGGGGACGGAGAAGGCUAUGUUGGCCGGGCGACGGUUGUCCCGGUUUAAGCGUGUAGGCUGGUUUUCCAGGCAAAUCCGGAAAAUCAAGGCUGAGGCGUGAUGACGAGGCACUACGGUGCUGAAGCAACAAAUGCCCUGCUUCCAGGAAAAGCCUCUAAGCAUCAGGUAACAUCAAAUCGUACCCCAAACCGACACAGGUGGUCAGGUAGAGAAUACCAAGGCGCUUGAGAGAACUCGGGUGAAGGAACUAGGCAAAAUGGUGCCGUAACUUCGGGAGAAGGCACGCUGAUAUGUAGGUGAAGCGACUUGCUCGUGGAGCUGAAAUCAGUCGAAGAUACCAGCUGGCUGCAACUGUUUAUUAAAAACACAGCACUGUGCAAACACGAAAGUGGACGUAUACGGUGUGACGCCUGCCCGGUGCCGGAAGGUUAAUUGAUGGGGUUAGCGGUAACGCGAAGCUCUUGAUCGAAGCCCCGGUAAACGGCGGCCGUAACUAUAACGGUCCUAAGGUAGCGAAAUUCCUUGUCGGGUAAGUUCCGACCUGCACGAAUGGCGUAAUGAUGGCCAGGCUGUCUCCACCCGAGACUCAGUGAAAUUGAACUCGCUGUGAAGAUGCAGUGUACCCGCGGCAAGACGGAAAGACCCCGUGAACCUUUACUAUAGCUUGACACUGAACAUUGAGCCUUGAUGUGUAGGAUAGGUGGGAGGCUUUGAAGUGUGGACGCCAGUCUGCAUGGAGCCGACCUUGAAAUACCACCCUUUAAUGUUUGAUGUUCUAACGUUGGCCCGUUAUCCGGGUUGCGGACAGUGUCUGGUGGGUAGUUUGACUGGGGCGGUCUCCUCCUAAAGAGUAACGGAGGAGCACGAAGGUUGGCUAAUCCUGGUCGGACAUCAGGAGGUUAGUGCAAUGGCAUAAGCCAGCUUGACUGCGAGCGUGACGGCGCGAGCAGGUGCGAAAGCAGGUCAUAGUGAUCCGGUGGUUCUGAAUGGAAGGGCCAUCGCUCAACGGAUAAAAGGUACUCCGGGGAUAACAGGCUGAUACCGCCCAAGAGUUCAUAUCGACGGCGGUGUUUGGCACCUCGAUGUCGGCUCAUCACAUCCUGGGGCUGAAGUAGGUCCCAAGGGUAUGGCUGUUCGCCAUUUAAAGUGGUACGCGAGCUGGGUUUAGAACGUCGUGAGACAGUUCGGUCCCUAUCUGCCGUGGGCGCUGGAGAACUGAGGGGGGCUGCUCCUAGUACGAGAGGACCGGAGUGGACGCAUCACUGGUGUUCGGGUUGUCAUGCCAAUGGCACUGCCCGGUAGCUAAAUGCGGAAGAGAUAAGUGCUGAAAGCAUCUAAGCACGAAACUUGCCCCG
rnacentral:rRNA from 1 species